UAUGCGGAGGUGAAGAUAUAAGCAAACCAUCUGAGCCAUUCGACCCCUUGACCGAACAAUUGAACCUAAAGCUACCUAGAAGUAAUAAAGUUAUAUAGAAGUAUUUCUCCACAUUCUUUGCACUAAGAAAUACUUCAAAUCUUGUGACAGGUUGAUUGAAGUACAUCCUACCUAUUUUCUUGGGCAUGGAUAGAUGGCAUUAUUCAAUUUAUUGUUUCGAGACUGUAG
rnacentral:lncRNA from 1 species